ACGUACGCUGGCGGCACGCCUAACACAUGCAAGUCGAACGAAGUAGCAAUACUUAGUGGCAGACGGGUGAGUAACAUGUAGGUAUCUGCCCUUUGGCCUGGAAUAACACGAGGAAACUUGUGCUAAUACCGGAUAAGUCUUUACGGAGAAAGCUUUAUGCACCAUUGGAUGAGCCUGCACUUGAUUAGUUUGUUGGUGGGGUAAUGGCCUACCAAGACUGUGAUCAAUAGCUGAUUUGAGAGGAUGAUCAGCCACAUUGGGACUGAGACACGGCCCAAACUCCUACGGGAGGCAGCAGUGGGGAAUCUUGCACAAUGGAGGAAACUCUGAUGCAGCGAUGCCGCGUGAGUGAAGAAGGCCCUUGGGUUGUAAAGCUCUUUCGUCGGGGAAGAAAAUGACUGUACCCGAAUAAGAAGGUCCGGCUAACUUCGUGCCAGCAGCCGCGGUAAUACGAAGGGACCUAGCGUAGUUCGGAAUUACUGGGCUUAAAGAGUUCGUAGGUGGUUGAAAAAGUUAGUGGUGAAAUCCCAGAGCUUAACUCUGGAACUGCCAUUAAAACUUUUCAGCUAGAGUAUGAUAGAGGAAAGCAGAAUUUCUAGUGUAGAGGUGAAAUUCGUAGAUAUUAGAAAGAAUACCAAUUGCGAAGGCAGCUUUCUGGAUCAUUACUGACACUGAGGAACGAAAGCAUGGGUAGCGAAGAGGAUUAGAUACCCUCGUAGUCCAUGCCGUAAACGAUGUGUGUUAGACGUUGGAAAUUUAUUUUCAGUGUCGCAGGGAAACCGAUAAACACACCGCCUGGGGAGUACGACCGCAAGGUUAAAACUCAAAUGAAUUGACGGGGACCCGCACAAGUAGUGGAGCAUGUGGUUUAAUUCGAAGAUACGCGCAGAACCUUACCAACACUUGACAUGUUCGUCGCGACUCUAAGAGAUUAGAGUUUUCGGUUCGGCCGGACGAAACACAGGUGCUGCAUGGCUGUCGUCAGCUCGUGUCGUGAGAUGUUGGGUUAAGUCCCGCAACGAGCGCAACCCUCACUUUUAGUUGCCAUCAUUAAGUUGGGCACUCUGAAAGAACUGCCAGUGAUAAGCUGGAGGAAGGUGGGGAUGACGUCAAGUCCUCAUGGCCCUUACGUGUUGGGCUACACACGUGCUACAAUGGUAUUUACAACAGGAAGCAAGACUGCGAAGUUAAGCAAAUCCCUAAAAGAUACCUCAGUUCGGAUUGCACUCUGCAACUCGAGUGCAUGAAGCUGGAAUUACUAGUAAUCGUGGAUCAGCGUGCCACGGUGAAUGCGUUCCCGGGUCUUGCACACACCGCCCG
rnacentral:rRNA from 1 species